rnacentral:rRNA from 1 species
CGGGGAAUAUUGCGCAAUGGGCGAAAGCCUGACGCAGCGACACCGCGUGGAGGAAGAAUGCUUUCGAGUUGUAAACUCCUUUUCUCAGGGAAGAGAUAGGACGGUACCUGAGGAAUAAGCCUCGGCUAACUACGUGCCAGCAGCCGCGGUAAUACGUAGGAGGCGAGCGUUAUCCGGAUUUACUGGGCGUAAAGGGCGAGCAGGCGGCUCGUCAGGUCUCAUGUGAAAUCUCCCGGCUCAACUGGGAGGGGUCGUGGGAAACCGGCGAGCUUGAGGACAGCAGAGGAAAGUGGAAUUCCCGGAGUAGUGGUGGAAUGCUUAGAUACCGGGAGGAACACCAGUGGCGAAGGCGGCUUUCUGGGCUGAUCCUGACGCUGAGGCGCGAAAGCGUGGGGAGCAAACCGG